CAAGAACAAUUUCAUUAGCUUCAUGAACAAAUGAGGACUUCACCUUCUGUGGCUGUACACACCUCACUUUCAGUAAAAAAAAAAAAAAAAAAAAAAGGCAGAGUAAAUAUCCUUAAACAGUCCCAUAUUUGAAGUGUUGUGAUAUAGAAAUACAUCAGUUAUGUUUAGCUAUGUGGAAUUUAUUUAAUUAUAUCAUCUGAGACAUUAUAGCCAUCACCAGUCACUAGCAAUGAUUGUGACUCCCUUUUGAGCACAUCACUUACGUUAUAAAGUGAUACAGUUGUUAUGUCAUACAUAACAUGUUCCUGUGAUCUCAUAAGACAGACAGAAAAUUAGCUGUAUACCUGCCAGAUGAAGUAAGGGGAGCUCUGCAGUUAGAUCAACGACCCGUUGCAUACAGCUUAUGGGAGACAAAAAUUGGAUAGAGACAGCUGGGGAGCACAAGUAAUAACAAAACCACAUUGGCAACACUAUUGACAGAAGCCGUCAGCUACCACUUCCUUCUCAAUUUUUUGUAAGCAUCACAACAGAGAGGGGAUUUGAAGAAACAGAGGUUGGAGUUCACCACCUUUUUAGUCUGCUUGAAUGACUGAGGAAGGCUUUAAAAAGCCACCUCAGGCUUAAUCUCGUAGCAGCCAAUUCUCACAAACAGUGAGGUCCCUCUGCAUGAAGAGCACACAGCUUCUGUGAUGCCAGACCACCUGCAGAUGCCACCUAAGAGAAAGCAAUCAACAGCUCGGUUUUCACUGGGCUAUCCAAACAAUCAAUUUGCUCAAAUCUUAUCAGUUCUGUAAGGUGAUUUUACCUAUGGACGAAGAAAUUUCUGCACAAAUUCCUGUGAGCCUUUCACAACUCUGUGGAAAAAAUUUUUACCCAUCAGUGAAAUUCCAGCAUUUUAACUUCAGAAAACAGAAAAAUAAACUGUCUUUGAAGGAAGCCAGCCUCAGACUAGACAGGAGAUACUAACAGAAAUUUGUAGAAAGAUGUCUUCUGAAUUAUGGGUAUUUGCAUAGUAAAGGUUUCUGCUUUCAAGACCAAAACGAUUUCUGGACAGCUUGGAUUUAGUGUCCUAUAACUGAAAUUACUUUUCUUCUGACUCAUGCUUAUUCCCGGAGAGCAUGCAAGAAAACAGUCAUAACUUCUCUGAUAUUUAUCACAGUAAACAAGCUACAAUUUUCUAGUCUACUUAGACUUCCUAUUCCCUGUGUAUAAUUAACAGUCUUCUUUGCACUCGUUCAUCCAGAUUCACCUUUUGUAACAUGUUGGCCGAAGCCUUCCACGUUAUGCCGGAGAAGGUCUCCUAGUGCCGUAUGCAGUAGCUCCCCCACAUACCUGUCUUAAAAUCCAGAUGCUGAAUUUGCAGUUAUUCAGUGAUUUGUCAUUCUGAAGACUGUACUCAUCCCAUAUGCUUUCCUAACAUCCGACAUAUAGCAGUGUUCAGCUUUACAGGGUGUCUGUGGCUGGCCUGGCCAAUCUAUAAUGCUUUAUCACUCUAAAUUAAGUACGCCUUUAAUGCUGAGAACCUGCCUUGUGUUUGAACAGUAGCCAGAAGGGUUGCUCUCUCUGCUCUUGUAAGGGUCCUUAACAGUGGUCUUUCUUUUAGCACCAAUUGUUCAUAGUUUAAGCCUGCUUAAAAAAACAUCCUGAUACGAGAAGGAUUGAGGUUCUGGUGCUGUUUCCUAGAUAUAUUAUGCAGGAUGUCACAGUAGUUACUAAUAUAAAGGUACGUAAGAUUGAGCAUGUCAGUUUUGCUCACUGACUGUGACCACAUUCCAGUAUCACCAGAAAUAGUAAUAUGCAUGAGGCAGAGGCCUCAUAGAUCAUGUCUUAUCUUACCAUAACAAGACACUAUAUUUCUCAUUUGUUCCUAUGGUUAUCCAAUACUAUUUUAAAAUCCCCUCCUCUCAGCU
rnacentral:lncRNA from 1 species